rnacentral:rRNA from 1 species
GCUGGCGGCGUGCCUAACACAUGCAAGUCGAACGAGAAAGUGGAGCAAUCCAUGAGUACAGUGGCGACCGGGUGAGUAACACGUGACUACCUACCCUCGAGUGGGGAAUAACUCCGGGAAACCGGGGCUAAUACCGCAUAACAUCGAGAGAUCAAAGCAGCAAUGCGCUUGAGGAGGGGGUCGCGGCUGAUUAGCUAGUUGGCGGGGUAAUGGCCCACCAAGGCGAAGAUCGGUAUCCGGCCUGAGAGGGCGCACGGACACACUGGAACUGAAACACGGUCCAGACUCCUACGGGAGGCAGCAGUGGGGAAUUUUGCGCAAUGGGGGAAACCCUGACGCAGCAACGCCGCGUGGAGGAUGAAGUCCCUUGGGACGUAAACUCCUUUCGACCGGGACGAUAAUGACGGUACCGGUGGAAGAAGCCCCGGCUAACUUCGUGCCAGCAGCCGCGGUAAUACGAGGGGGGCAAGCGUUGUUCGGAAUUAUUGGGCGUAAAGGGCGCGUAGGCGGUGCGGUAAGUCACCUGUGAAACCUCCGGGCUCAACUCGGAGCCUGCAGGCGAAACUGCCGUGCUGGAGUGUGGGAGGGGUGCGUGGAAUUCCCGGUGUAGCGGUGAAAUGC